rnacentral:rRNA from 1 species
AUUGAACGCUGGCGGCAUGCCUUACACAUGCAAGUCGAACGGCAGCACGGGUGCUUGCACCUGGUGGCGAGUGGCGAACGGGUGAGUAACACGUGGGUGAUCUGCCCUGCACUUCGGAAUAAGCCUGGGAAACUGGGUCUAAUACUGGAUAGGACCACUGCCUGCAUGGGUGGUGGUGGAAAGCUUUUGCGGUGUGGGAUGGGCCCGCGGCCUAUCAGCUUGUUGGUGGGGUGAUGGCCUACCAAGGCGACGACGGGUAGCCGGCCUGAGAGGGUGACCGGCCACACUGGGACUGAGAUACGGCCCAGACUCCUACGGGAGGCAGCAGUGGGGAAUAUUGCACAAUGGGCGCAAGCCUGAUGCAGCGACGCCGCGUGAGGGAUGACGGCCUUCGGGUUGUAAACCUCUUUCAGCACCGACGAAGCGCAAGUGACGGUAGGUGCAGAAGAAGGACCGGCCAACUACGUGCCAGCAGCCGCUGUAA